GGGGUCUUAGCACAGUGGUAGGGCGCAUGCUUUGCAUCUCGUCGAGUGAUUGCAUGAGGUCGUGAGUUCAAUCCUCACAGGCUCCA